rnacentral:rRNA from 1 species
AACAAGGUUUCCGUAKGUGAACCUGCGGAAGGAUCAUUCRC